UGCCAGCACCCCGAGUGGUCGGGACGUUUAUUGGGCCUAAAGCAUCCGUAGCCGGUUCUACAAGUCUUCCGUUAAAUCCACCUGCUUAACAGAUGGGCUGCGGAAGAUACUAUGGAGCUAGGAGGCGGGAGAGGCAAGCGGUACUCGAUGGGUAGGGGUAAAAUCCGUUGAUCCAUUGAAGACCACCAGUGGCGAAGGCGGCUUGCCAGAACGCGCUCGACGGUGAGGGAUGAAAGCUGGGGGAGCAAACCGG
rnacentral:rRNA from 1 species